AUGUGCUCUCCCUUCUUACUUUCCCCUCUGUUCUGUAUGCUUUCUGAUCCCCUGAUUAUCCCUUCUAGUAGAACAGCAGAGAAGUGUGUGUGUGGACUUGGAGUCCCAGACCAGGAGCUGGUAGAGAAGAACCUAGUGUUCCAGUGUGCUAGACAAUUUCCUGGAGCAAGACUGACAAGAUCAAGGCCCCAUCAUUGCGAUACUUUGGACGCUGCUUAGAAGUUUGGUGAUGGUGGUGCAUUGGCGCCAUCUUGUAACAGAAACCUGAACUACAGUUUGAACACUACAAAGGAAGAAAGUGAGAGGCUCUGUCUGACCCAAACCCGCCAGACAGGUCAUUCUGGAAGUAUGGGUGGAAAGGGGACAUUCUCAGCCUAAUGGGAUAC
rnacentral:lncRNA from 12 species